rnacentral:rRNA from 1 species
CAGUAGCCACGGUAAUACGAAGGGGGCUAGCGUUGUUCGGAAUUACUGGGCGUAAAGGGCGCGUAGGCGGCGAUAAUAGUCAGAAGUGAAAGCCCCGGGCUCAAUCUGGGAAUUGCUUUUGAUACUGUAUUGCUUGAGUUCGAGAGAGGUGAGUGGAAUUCCCAGUGUAGAGGUGAAAUUCGUAGAUAUUCGGAAGAACACCAGUGGCGAAGGCGGCUCACUGGACGACUGUUGACGCUGAGGUACGAAAGCGUGGGGAGCAAACAGGAUUAGAUACCCCCGUAGUCCCUGUCUCUUAUAC